CCCAAUGUGCCUUACUGCAAAUCACGCAGCGAGGCUUCCUCUGUUAUUGGCCGCCAGUCGAUGUGCUCCUAGCCCUGCCCUGGGAUCGAGGGUGCUUAGGUUGUCUUGUAGUGUUCCGAAAAAUUUAAGGUAUGUUUUGUCGAAACAAUUACAGUUAUUGAAUUACUUGACACUUCUAGAUAGUGUCAGAAUGAAUUGGAAUUGAUUUGGACAUGAAAUUGAUGUCACAAAUAUUCCUGAAUUGGAAUUAAAUUCCUGCUGGAUCAAGUUUAGUUGCUUGUUGUUGAGCCAAGGCUCAACUUAUUUUUCCCCACCAACCUAGCUAAUUGGAGUCUUUUUCCUGUAGCAAACUGAAAGUGGACUCCUCCUCCCUCUUCUAAAACUUCUACUUUUGCUCUUCUCUUGCUCCUCUCCAUUCUCGCUGCCUACUCUCCCUGCACAGGAUACCAAACUAGCAACAGCAGUCCACUAGCAGCGGCAGUAAGGAACUCUAGUUGCAGCACCAGUGGACUUCUUCUUCUUCUUCCCCUUCUUCACUGCAAGCUGGAGCAAGGAAUAUCAGCAAACCCUUCAUCACGAACUCCUCCUAUUCCCUCUUCAUCUCUGCUGGUUGGGCAUCUCAGCACUAGCAGCCAACAAGCUGCAGCAAAUUUAAGCAAGCAACAGCAGCCUGACAGCAUAGUCAAGCAUCUUUCUUCUUGGUAUUUGAGGGGAUUUCGAGGCUUUGGGAUGUUGGAAGAGUUCAUGCACAGGUAGAAUUUGAAGAGAACUUGAGAAGUGAUCUACUUCAGCAAAUUUUCUGGUCUAUUGGAUUUAAUUGCUGAAUUAGUGAAGGUUGCUAAAAUUGGAGCUUAUGCUGAUUUGUUUGGUUGAGCUGAGUUUUGAUUUAGUUUCUUUUAAUCUACCUUGCUACAUGAUCUUUUGAGAAGUUGGGGACAAGAGCAUCUUCACGUAGAACAGGAGGGGAGUUUAAUUGAGUUGAAUUAAUGAUUGGUAUGGUGUGAAUUUCUAUUUGCAUUGAGCUUUACAAACCGAAAUGAGAACCUGUGGAAUUUUUGCAUGUCCUUGAGUUUUGAUGGAUUUCCUUUGGUUUUUGCUUUUUACCUGAACUUGUGGAAGGUUGGGAGUGAGCUUAUCUUCAUCCAGAGAUGGUGGGGAAGUCGUUUGAGUUUAUUUGGAGGGUUAAUAUUGAGGAAAUUUUGGGUUUUGAUCCAGUCCAACCGAAAUGGCUAUAUGCUGAUUUUAUUUGUUCUUAAUCCAAUUCCAACCUAUUAUGCGGUGAUUUUUCAGUUUAAAUUGGAGGUUUUCAGUGUUUUGGAGCCGAGGAUCACCUUGGUUACGUUCUCCUUUUCUCCUUGAGCUGUACUCCUUCCUGCGAGUCCUAGGAGCUGCGGCAACAUCAACAUCAACCUUAACAUUCUGCAGCAGCAGAAUUUCAGCAGCCUGCAGCUGAGUUCAAGAUGGAAUUUUGAGAGAUUUCGAAAUCCAAAUUGCUGGGGAAUUGAUUGUUCGUAUUCUCGGAGAAGAGGUGAACAUGAGGAGUGUUUUAAUUCAGAAAAUGACCAGGUACUUUAGAUCAAUCUUGUAUUGCCCUAUACCCUCUUUUUGCACUGGUUCUCUUUGUGGGUCAAGGAAAUUGCAGUUUCAACAGCAGCAACAAGUUGCAGUUUCAACAGCAGCAGCAUGCGCAAUUCAGCAAUGGCACUUGGCUUUGAGAAGGAAAUUAAUGGAUUUUGAUACUUCCAACUGCAACAUUAGGGCAUGCUCGUGAACCAUCUGGUUAGGAGAAGUUGGUGGCGCAAGUUACUCAGCUGAACUGCAAGGAGUUGAGCUCCAAUUAAGGGGAUUCCAGCUGAUCCGCACCUAAAUGUUAGCUGAAUUGAAGUUACCCCCAGAGCCCUCAAUUCCUAUCGCUGUCAUUGAUCGAGAUAAAGGAGUCGUGAGUUAAAUCCCUACCUACCUUGGUUACAGAGCUAGCGGAGUACUCUUUUUGGAGAUAGCUUUUGGUGUUUGGUCAUUGUACAUACAGAUGGAUAUUUUAUAUUUCAGAGUUUUGUGAGGUGUUUAUGUACUCUUUGGAUCUAUGAAUGUAUAGGAUUACGUUUUAGUUUUA